UGUACAUCAAAAGAUGGAGCUAACGCAAUGGCUUUAAGAAGCCGUUGCAUUAGGUGUACUAAUACAACAACCUGAAAGGCUAUUGCCACGGCAGUUCACUCCGUAUGAAAAUGCGCUUAAUUAAUUAGUUCACUCUCCUCAGAUCUCACCACCUCAGUUCUCACUCCUCUCUCUGUCUCUCCUUCUCCCUAUUCUCUUCCUCCAAGACGAAGGCAACCAUCACCGCAGCCGUAACCACAUCCACAACCACCGUCGCUCACAAAAUUAAAUUCUCUCUCUUUCUUCAUCCUCCUCAUUCACUGAUGGUCACGGUGGUGAUGGUGGUCGCGAGUGAUAACGACGAUGCGGUUCGAUUUUUAGGGUUUUGAUUGGUGUUCAUGGGUUUUGAUUUGCUAAUUGUUGGACCUGGUGUUCUUGAUCGCUUGGUAGCUCAAUAAUGGAGUCAGGUAAGAAAAAUUAAUCCUAUGUGAGAGGCAUGUUGACAAUGGCUAUUGACACACCGAGACAUGUUGCCGGAAGUUCAUGUAUCUAAUCUUGCAAUUUCUCCAAUGUGAGGCAGAUUGCAUAAAGCCCAUUAGAUUGGUUCAAUUAUUCAUUAGUGUUCCUUCUAUGAAGUUUGGGUGAUUUCGUUUGUGGACGGUAUAGUUGUCUUUUUUUUUUUCUUUUUUUUUUCCCCUUUUGAUGAUUAUCCAUCUUUCUGACAUGAGUUUUUCCUUUUGUUUACAACAGGCCUCUACCGAGUGAUAUAUCUUCUUACAAGACGCAUGAUUUUCUCAAAUUGUGAAGGGAUCAUUAGACGAUUUCAUCGAUGCAAAUAUUCAGCUAGCAUUGACUGUUGCGAGGAAACUUCAAGAGAAAAUGCAACUCAGAUCAUGCAUAGUGUUUCCUGACAAGCCUGAAAAGCGUAGGGCCACUCAGUUUUUCAGGACUGCUAUUGACUCGGUAACAAUAUCUAUCCUCAACUUGAUAUCUAGCUGAAAACAAGCUUACUGGAACAUUACCUGUCUCAAAUGGGACUAAACCAGGUCUUGAAAUGCUGCAUAGUUGUAAGCACUUUCACUUUGGAAGAUAUCAACUCUCUGGCUCAAUUCCACCUCAGCUACUCCAUGAAAAUAUGACACUUGCUUAUUCAUUUGCUACGAUGUUUGCUUUUGAUUUCGGCUAGUUCUUUGUCACAUUUCUUUCUAGACCACUUAUUUGAGGUAAUGCUCUUUCGCCAACAUUAUUGUGAAUAACUGCAUCUUGUAGACUUAUAGUAUGAGGUGAUUAAAGUUAAAAAAUAAAGCUAAUACUUGGGUAGUAGAACAUUGUUUAGUGAUCCAAUGCAAUUUAUAUUAGAAAUUGUUUCCUCUACCGGGUUCUUGUUUGAAGAUUUUCCUGCUGUCAGCGUUGUGUAUCAUGAGAAAGUUGUGAAUAUUGAAUCUGUUGGCCUUUUGGGUUACUCUGAAAAAAAUGUAGUGGAAGACACAUGGUUUGUAAAAUCUGUUUUCCAUUCUAUUUAAAUAAUUAUAGUUGAUCAGGCCAUUCUUGAUUCUUGCUACUAAUUUUCUUUAUGAGUUUGUUUAGAGAUAUUGGAGUAUUGUUAAUGUUCGUAUUGGAUAUGAGUUCACAGGGUAUGAUAAUACGAAGAUAAAGCUUGACAAAGACAAUUUAUCACUUUGAAGUACUUUGCUUGGUUUUGUAUAAUUUUGUUGCAUGUAUAGUAGUUAUCCUACUCAAUUCUGAUUAAGGUUUUUUUUUUUUUUUUUUUUUUUUUUUUUUUUUUUUUGUUUAUUCUCCUGUUUUAUUAUCUAUAUAUAAAAAGAGCAUUAGGAUCUUUGAUUUUGUAUACAUGGCUAACUUUAAUUUUAAUUGAUUUUGGCAAGCUUAAAUUGACAAAUGUACAUAAUGAAGCUUGGAAAACAGUGACAAGAUAUAUAAACAAUAAAAAACAAUCUCAGAUCAAUGUCAAAAUGUGACUUCUUUAAGCUUUUGUGCUACUGCAAUGUUGGGAUGUUUAUGUUGGUUGUUAUGUUGCUUUUGAUAACUAUAGGACAUCUAGUGCUCUAAAUUUGUCUUUAUUUUGAUCCAAACACCCAAUUUUGUUGGUAAAAAAUGGUUAAAGGGAGAGUAGACUUAGUUGCUGUUCUUCUGAAGAUAUUGCAUUCUUGAAAGUCUGUAAAAUAGGGGAAAUUGAUGUGAAAGGGAGGGGGGCUGUUUUUACUCGUAUGGAUAGCUGGGUGCCCUGGUUUAUUGUUUUUUAGAUGAGUUUGGUGUGUGCCCUCCUUAUUUGGCUUAUGGUUGCUGUUGGUUGCCGCUUCUGGUUUGGUUUUAGUGUUGGAUCUGAUAGUGGCAGAUCAGCGGCUGUGGUUCAGGGUUCUACUUGCUUGCAGCCUAUUUUGUGCCUGUUGUGUUUUUGUUUGGUUUUGGGUUGGCUGCUGCCUGUAUUGGCUUCAGGGUGCUGUUGUUGCUGUUGUGGCCUGCGGUCUAACAUGAGUAUUAUUGUAUAGUUGAAUUCUCCGUGCGUUUUGAACUUUUCUCAUGUUGAUUGUGGCCUUGAUCUAGUGUAAUUUAUAAUUUAGUUCUAUUAUAUUUCUAUUACUUUAUUCUAUUUUACGUGUAGGUGCAUGGGGAGCUAAAUGGAGCUGAAGCAUAGUAACUAGCUAGUCAUUUAACAAAUGGUGCAUAUAUGUUGGCGACUCUUAUUCAAGCUCAACUUUGUGAAGAUUUGGAAAUUCCGGCUUAUAUAUAUGUUGAAAAUUUGUAUUUUGGAGGAUUAAAUUAAUUAUAUAACUUUUAUUUAUUAUUAGUAGGGUGUCAUACAAAAAACAAGCAACUAAUAUUUUAUAAUGUACGUAUUUAGCAUUAUAAUUAUUUUAUAUAAAUUUAAUGAUAUUUUGUUUCUUAGUAUUUUUAGAUUUGUACCGACUAUUUAUACAUAUAUUAUAUUACCGUACAAUUCAAAAAAAAAAAAAAAAAAAAAAAAAAGAUCAAAUGAUCAAUCCGUUGCAGUAGAUACGUACUCCAUACAUCAUUUGUAUUAAUUAGCUUCAGCCGUUGCAAUAGGUGUUAAUUUCAUCACAAUUAGUAGUAAGUAAUCUAUUGCAACGGAUAAUUUAUACCGUGGCAUUAGGUGUAGAGCUAUCGCAACGGAUUAUAGCUGCCGUGGUAUUAGGUGUUGUAUACCGUUGCAAUAGACCUACUGCAACGCCAGCAAAUGCAACGGUACAUGGCCGUUGCAUUAGUCCUAAUGCCACGGAAUUUGACGCCUAAUGCAACGGAUUUGGGGGUUGCAAUAGGUCAAAAAUGUAGUAGUGAAAUAACUCUCAGAACUCCAAAUAAUUAACUUUAAAAAAAAAUAACUUCCUUUCCAAAAAAAAAAAAAAAAAAAAAAAA